CUCCUACUGAAUAUGCAUUAGACAUGGUAACGUCAGCCUAACAUAUUAUAAAAGUGGCAUUCCAGCCUGGGGGCAGUAGGAGAGAGAUGAGGAGGGUGACAGAUGAGGAAGAUAAUGGCUAACAUUUCAGGGAUGGUAUUGUUUCUAAUCCUGUAAACCAUUGACCAGCCAUGCUUUGAGAUGAAGAACUCAGAAUAUGGGAUGAAGGGAUCUUAUUGUCUUCCUGGAAGAGGAGACAAGGAGCAGCCUGGAGAGUGACUGGUGAGUAAACAGCCAGCUGUAUCAGGCCAUGGAGCAAAGGAAGCCACCCAGGCCAAUUUUUCAGCAGGGGGUUAGUGCUGACAGAGUGACCUGGAGCAUCAAUUGGACACCUUCUGUUUGAGGAUCUCAGAGUGCUUUAAAUAUUAAAUCUCAACAUCCUCUUUGUGGGAGAGUGGUUUAAGAGGAAGAUUAGCCACUGAAGAGCAUACCACCACCAAUUAAAGAGGAAAGUGUCCACAGAAGUUAAAUGUGAUUACUAAAUUUUUUCUUUAACUUACUCUAGCUAACUAAGUGUUAUCUUGGUUAUUUGUGAUUCAGGAUAAUCUACAUUGUGCCCAAAUGAGAGUUGCAUUGGGAAAUGGCCAGAAGGCCACAUACAGUUUUAAUAAACUGUA